CAUGUGGCACUCAUCUACCUCACAGUGGCUGCAGUUUAGGUAAUGCUUAAUAUUCACUUCCCCAUGGCCCUCCAUCACUGGUGACAAGAAGGGAGGAUCAGCCUCAGGUGGAGGCAGCAAAGACCACGCUGCACCCCGUUCCCGGCCUCUGUGUUUUAUCUCCAGCUGGUCGGUGCUGGUUCUCUGGUCCCUGUCCCUAUGUCCCACUGAUGCCACUGAAGCACCACUGUGUGUAGGGAAGUCCCUGAUGCAUCUGAUGGAGCUCAGAGGACACGUGGCUGUGUUUUUGUAGGACGAUGGGAAGGUCCAAGUGCAUGACCCUCAGGUUGGCUGGCACAGGAAUGUCCUCCGGUGGCACCCUCCAGCAAAGAUUUUCCAGACCAGAGCAAGGAAGUGUUAUCAUUCCAGCCACCUCCACCACCUGCGGGAGACACGGAGAAAACCCCAAGUGAGGAUGCUGGCCAGGAACUCUGGAUUAGGCCAGACAAACCAAUGGGCUUUAUAGUUUCCUGGGAAAGAACUUCUCCAUUCUGAGCCUCAGUUUCCUCACCUGUGACUUGGGGAUAAUAAGACUUUCCUCAUUGGGUUGAUGUUUGGACCAAAGAAGACAACGAGUGUGCAAAAUGCUUCAGAAACCACGACGUGUAGGGAUCGUUGGGCAUGAGGUGAACACGUGUGUGCACAGGGCCUCACGCUCUGAAGCUCAGGAAAGAUGGUGGUAGCAAGGACCUGGAGAAACAGCAGUGCUUGAGUCUGCAGAACCAUGAGGGUUAACUGGCCGGGAAGGGCGGUCUGGAAGAAUGAGUGGCAGAGCUUUUAAGCAAAUGUGUGGAAAAGAAAACAAUCGGCAUAAAGAGAAAAAAAACCAAAUGAACCACAGCAGUGUUUUAAAAAAUGGACUGAGUAUGAAACAGUUUGGUUAUUUGGAGAAAAAAAAAACCCACCAACUCUAUGAGCUCAUUGAUUCUUCUGUAAAAUGGGAAUAAUAGCACAACGGGAAAGCCCUGCAGGUGAUGCUGAGAAGCACACGUACAACAGAUGUGGAAGUGCUUGGAGAGUUCUUAACUGCCGCUGUGAACAUCGCUGGAUGGUUUUCACCAAGCACCCAAGCCCUACUCCCACUCUCCCUUCUCUUCUAGCCGUUUCUCACUUGUAGGGAAAGUUUGAAUACUUGUUUUCAUUAAUCUCAAAUCUUAUAUGCCUUCUGAGAUCCUUGGUCUGAUUGUGGAGAAAAGAAAAUACAAAAAUGAACUGCAUUUUCUCUUCAGA